GCCGCACACAACUCAGAACGCGGCAGGGGCAAGGCGCUGUGGCAGGCGCUUUUGGAAAAGUAACAUUGCGUCUAUCCUUUUAUUUUUUCCAGUGUGCGUUUUAAUAGAAAAGUUGUCACUUUCCAAAAUGCCCUUUAGAGGUGACAUCGUAAUUGAUGGUUGGCAGUGGCUGAUAAAUGACACUUUGAGACAUCUCCAUCUCAUCUCAAGUCACUCCCGACAGCAGAUCAAGGAUGCAGCAGUCUCGGCCCUGGCUGCUCUAUGCAGUGAAUAUUACGUGAAGGAGCCGGGGGAGGCAGAUCCCGCAAUUCAGGAGGAGCUGAUCACGCAGUACCUGGCUGAGCUUUGGAACCCCGAGGAGAUGACUCGCUGUGGCUUCUCGUUGGCCUUGGGCGCCCUUCCAGGCUUCCUUCUGAAAGGCCGGCUCCAGCAGGUUCUCACAGGUUUAAGAGCAGUUACCCACACUUCCCCCAAGGACGUAAGCUUUGCUGAGUCCAGGAGAGAUGGCUUGAAGGCCAUUGCUAGGAUUUGCCAGACUGUCGGUGUGAAAGCAGGAGCCCCGGACGAAGCUGUGUGCAGAGAGAACGUUUCCCAGAUUUACUGUGCGCUGCUGAGCUGCAUGGACGACUACACCACGGACAGCAGAGGGGAUGUGGGUGCCUGGGUCCGCAAGGCUGCCAUGACCAGUCUGAUGGAUCUGACACUUCUGCUGGCUCGGAGCCAGCCUGAGCUGAUCGAGGCCCAUAUCUGUGAGCGCAUCAUGUGCU
rnacentral:sRNA from 1 species